UGCGCAGGCGGACUAAUAAGUCAGUGGUGAAAUCUCUCGGCUCAACCGAGAAACUGCCAUUGAAACUGUAAGUCUUGAGUAUAGUUGUAGUGGGCGGAAUAUGUCAUGUAGCGGUGAAAUGCUUAGAUAUGACAUAGAACACCGAUCGCGAAGGCAGCUCACUAAGCUAUAACUGACGCUCAGGCACGAAAGCGUGGGGAGCAAACAGGAUUAGAUACCCUGGUAGUCC
rnacentral:rRNA from 1 species